rnacentral:tRNA from 1 species
GGCUCGUUGGUCUAGGGGUAUGAUUCUCGCUUAGGGUACGAGAGGUCUCAGGUUCAAAUCCCGGAUGAGCCC